rnacentral:lncRNA from 12 species
CACUCAUCCUUUGGGAGGGACUGGAGACAUUCUGCAUGCGCUGUUGAGGAGAGAUCUCAAUCUUUGUUUGCUGGCCCCUGGUAUCCUAAAAACACCUGAACUUCUCUGAAGCUUAUAAAGUCCUGCAUUCAAUCAGCAGCCUUGCUGUGGAUUUGAAUCAUAUGAAAGUGCAAUGGCACAGCAGAGCAGUAUCUUACCACACAAUUUGUUUUUUCAGAGCAGGAAAGAGGUGUGCGUGUGUGUCUCUGAAAAAUAACAGGAAACCCAUGCCAAAAUUUCAUCUGCAGUUUCUAGGUUUGGUUUGCAGCAAGGAAUAAAGAACAAGGACGUACCUCUCACCUUCAAAUCAG